rnacentral:tRNA from 1 species
GCCCCCGUAGCUCAAUUGGAUAGAGCGGUGGACUUCUAAUCCACAGGUUGUAGGUUCAAGUCCGACCGGGGGCUCCA